GGAGGGAAAUUUUUGCCUCACUUUGAUCUUGUUGAUUAACAAAUCUCCAAUCAAAUUACUGACCAAACAAUCUUCAGUCGGAGGUGUUUAUUAAGCAAUCAAAACAACAAAUCAGAGAUUCUGAUCAAUCAACAAGAGAUUUGAGAGUCGUCGUUGGUUAACCAAUCUCCAUCUGAUGUUGAUACCAAUAUCGCAGGUGCAGGAACUGCAGAUUUAUGGUACUGACUGUCAACACCGGAGAGAAUAUAAGUUGCGAGUGACGUGAAAGCUGGAGAUAUUAAGGUCCUCUUUGUGAAGCCUCUGAAGCCGAAUGCAGUCAUCAGCAAAAUGUGAAAGGCUCUGUUUAUUUGUAUUGUUUGCAAAGGGAGUUGGUCUUUCAAAUUCUCGAUGCAGGUUAUUGUUUAUAUUCAUCCCACACUUUGGUUUGGUCUUUCACAUUCUCCAUGUCGGUCUGUACAAUAGUGAAUAGAUCUGUACAAGUGUAUUUUCUGUUUUUGUUGGUUGUGAUUUACAGAAAAAAAAAGCAUGGUAUGGUCAAUGACAGAUUUCAAUUCCAAAUUCUACAAGUCUGAUCGAUCUCUGGGACAGAAACUUGCAAGCCAUCUGAACGUGAGGCCAAGCAUUUCCAGAUAUGUUAAGCCUCUCCGUGAGGUACUACACAUAAUAUCAUCGAUCCAAGCACCACCUUUGUUGUUGUUUCGUGUCCAUAUAUAAUAAUAAUACAUGCUUUGUAAUCUCCUAAACCCAAUGUUUUUUCUACUGUCACAGUCUUUGUAAUCUAAUAUCAAUGUUAACAUAUUGGUCUUAUGGAAAGGUUAUAAUAAGUA